UUGCAAGGGGAUGUGGAUGGCAACAUAUAGGGGCUUACGUGAACUUAGGAGCUUUCUAUCUCUGGGGGACACCCAUGGCUGCAUGUUUAGCCUUCUGGUUUGAUCUGAAAGGUGUUGGCCUUUGGAUCGGAAUCCAAUCUGGUGCGGUUCUGCAAACUACUCUUCUCGCUAUUGUCACGGGCUGCACAAACUGGGAAAACCAGGCUAAUGCAGCAAGGAAGCGAAUGGCUUUGGCCUAAGGUACGUAAGGCGCUAGAGAACAGCACUAACCGAGUCAGAACUUGGCAUCUACCGAUUAUAUAUAGGGACCAAGUGUUCCACUUCGAUCGGUUUCAAAAUUUUGUUAGCAGUCAAAUUGUUGUAUGUUAUUUUGUGAAUAGUGGUGGAGCCGCUAUGACGUCUUUUUGUAACCAAGACUUGGCAUAAUGUUCUACUGUCCUAUAAUAAUAAGAAUAGUGGUGGAGCCGCUAUGAAGUCUUUUUGUAAACUGCAAAAUUUUCGACUGUAAUGAUAAAAUUCACUCAUCAA